rnacentral:rRNA from 1 species
GAUGAACGCUGGCGGCGUGCCUAAUACAUGCAAGUCGAGCGAACAGACGAGAGUGCUUGCACUCUCUGACGUUAGCGGCGGACGGGUGAGUAACACGUGGGUAACCUACCUAUAAGACUGGGAUAACUUCGGGAAACCGGAGCUAAUACCGGAUAAUAUUUAGCUUCGCAUGAAGCAAUAGUGAAAGACGGUUCUGCUGUCACUUAUAGAUGGACCCGCGGUGUAUUAGCUAGUUGGUUAGGUAACGGCUCACCAAGGCAACGAUACAUAGCCUACCUGAGAGGGUGAUCGGCCACACUGGGACUGAGACACGGCCCAGACUCCUACGGGAGGCAGCAGUAGGGAAUCUUCCGCAAUGGACGAAAGUCUGACGGAGCAAUGCCGCGUGAGUGAAGAAGGUGUUCGGAUCGUAAAACUCUGUUGUAAGGGAAGAACAAGUACGUUAGUAACUGAACGUACCUUGACGGUACCUUACCAGAAAGCCACGGCUAACUACGUG